AAACAAAACAUAAUGAUAAAAAAGAAACCAGUAUGGCGACACUUUAAUGAAUGAAAUAUAAAAAAUAAUAAAACAAAAAGUAAAAAAAGAAAAAAAAAAAAGAAGACACAAGAGAAAAAAAAAUUACGUCGAAAAUUAGUACGAUUUAGACGCACGAAAGAUUUUUUUUAUCCUGAUGCGUAUUCGUUGUAUUCAUUACGGUAAUAGUGAAUAUAAUCGCAUCAAGUGCAGAGAAAUCUUACGGAAAUAUAAUUAAGACUUUUCCACAGUUUUUUACACAAUCGUCCUUUUGAAAGCCAUCAUAGAUUGAUAAGGCUUAAGGAAAGAAAGCAAUAGAAGAAUGAAAUAUUAUAAGAGAUUUUGAGGAACAGAUUUUGGCCGUUCUCGCUCACACUUUUUAGAAAAUCCACGUCCAUUUUGCGAAAACUAUCUUUGGGACUGUGCGGCGAUUACUCGUGGAACUUGUGACGUUUUGAAUGUUUCUUUAACUUCUUCUUUUUCUUUUUUUUUUAUUCUUCUCUUUUUUCCCCCUUUUCUUCUUUUCUUUUUUAUCCUCUUGGAAAGUUAUUAUUAAUCUGUAUGACAAUUUGAAGAAAGAAACAAAACAAAAAAAAAAAGAAAGAAAAACAAUAGAUUCUUUGAACCAAUUCGCAAUAAGAUUCUAUGAGCGUAUGACUGCAUAAUUUGAUAAACUAAGUACAAGUAAGACAAGUGUUACCUCAUCAUGGAAUUCAGCACAUUCGUGUCACAUUAGCUACCACUGCAUCGCUGUUUGGUACACUUCCAUUGUAUGUUGCAUUUAAAUUCAAAGACUUUUAUAAGAAUGGUCCAACAGUGGUAAUUGUUUUUAGUGCACGAGUGCUGUUCAUCAAACCCAGCUCAUACAGACAUUCAUUUUUCCAUUUACUUUAAGUCAUUGCACCACAUCAAAUAAAUGACAUUUUCAUUAUAUAAUCAUGUGAAUUUUGCGUGAGUUUCAUUACCCUUUACAACAUUGCAGUAGCUUUAUGAUGGGUCUCUAUAUUAGUUUUUUCUUUUUUCUACUUUUUUUUUCUUGCAUUUUUUUCUUUUUUUUUUUUCUUUUUUUUUUUUAAUCACAAAGUCUAAGUUCUUGCGCUAACAAAAAAAGGGGCAAUGACAAAAGAUUUUGUUAAGAUUAAUUUACAUUACGUUAGUUUAUCAGGAUCAGAAAUAUUCUCUAAUAACGUAAGAUACCAAAUGUAUACUUGAUAGAGAUAAAAAAUUAUUUCUUUAAAAAAGAAAAAAAAAAGAAAGAAAAAAAAAAUUGUAAAUGUGGAUAAAGUGCAAGUAAAAUUAGAGUUUCGUAUCGACUAUAAUAAUAUUUUACGCAGGCUAAUAAUAAUUCGUAUAUCUCUAAAUAUAUGUACAAUCUAUCGUAUGUGUUUCAAUCUAUCUUUAAAAUAUUUGAAAAGAUAAUUCAUUUUUGUAAAAGAUUAUCAUUCGAAGGGAGAACAUUCAUUGCUGCGUAACUACAUAUAAGAUAUUCGCUCGUAUAUCUAUUACUUACACAGAGAAGAGAAAUUAUUGGGGAAUUAAGAAAUAUAAUGUCGCAUAGGUACGAUGUAUAUUUUGUAAGUUAUAUUAAUAAAUAUUAAUUAUUGAAACUCUCA